rnacentral:rRNA from 1 species
UACGUAGGGUGCGAGCGUUAAUCGGAAUUACUGGGCGUAAAGGGCUCGUAGGCGGCCAACUAAGUCAGACGUGAAAUCCCUCGGCUUAACCGGGGAACUGCGUCUGAUACUGGAUGGCUUGAGUUUGGGAGAGGGAUGCGGAAUUCCAGGUGUAGCGGUGAAAUGCGUAGAUAUCUGGAGGAACACCGGUGGCGAAGGCGGCAUCCUGGACCAACACUGACGCUGAGUGAGCGAAAGCCAGGGGAGCAAACGGG